GACGAACGCUGGCGGCGUGCUUAACACAUGCAAGUCGAGCGGUAAGGCUCCUUCGGGAGUACACGAGCGGCGAACGGGUGAGUAACACGUGAGCAAUCUGCCCUUCACAUGGGAAUAACUUCGGGAAACCGAAGCUAAUACCGAAUACGACCACCGAUGGCAUCUUCUGGUGGUGGAAAGUUCCGGCGGUGAAGGAUGAGCUCGCGGCCUAUCAGCUUGUGGUGAGGUAAUGGCCCACCAAGGCGACGACGGGUAGCCGGCCUGAGAGGGUGACCGGCCACACUGGGACUGAGACACGGCCCAGACUCCUACGGGAGGCAGCAGUGGGGAAUAUUGGACAAUGGGCGAAAGCCUGAUCCAGCAACGCCGCGU
rnacentral:rRNA from 1 species